AUUCAGUCUGGAGGCGCGGACGUGCAGGUCGGAAGACAGCAGGGCAUCCCCGAGCGGGGGCCGUCCGCCUCACGCAGCUCCGUGUCCGCCAGACGCAUUUCCUCUCGUCCGAAGGACGCCGCAGCCGGCUGGGUAGUGCAAGCGCGACGGCCUGAGGGGCGGAAGAUGGCAGGUGGCCGGUGGCCCGCCCCGUGCGGGUUGCCGGUUGUUAGCCUUUCCGUCAGUGGCUCGUCACCCGGCCGAGGUGUCGCUAGGCCCUUCGGGGCCUCAACGUCUCCUCCCUUGCUGGAAGUCGGGACGGAGCACAGCAGGUGGGAGCCGUCGUCCCGUUCGCACCCCUACGGGGUGGUCGGGCGAACGCGUUCCCGCCGUUGGUGGUGCCGGGCCCGUCGGAGGUCGGAGGCUGGCGGCGAGUAGGUCGGUCACCCACCCGACCCGUCUUGAAACACGGACCAAGGAGUCUAACAUGUGCGCGAGUCAAUGGGUCUUGAAUAGGCCCAGGGGCGCAAUGAAAGCAAAGGCCGACCCCACGUCGGCUGAGUUGGGAUCUCCCGUCUCGGCGGGGGCGCACCGACGACCCGUCCUAUCCGGUCCGCCGGUUGGGCGGAGUGAGAGCGUACACGUUGGGACCCGAAAGAUGGUGAACUAUGCCCGGACAGGACGAAGCCAGAGGAAACUCUGGUGGAGGUCCGCAGCGGUUCUGACGUGCAAAU
rnacentral:rRNA from 1 species